UACGUAGGGGGGCAACGUUGUCCGGAUUUAUUGGGCGUAAAGAGCGUGUAGGCGGCUUGACAGGUCUGCUGUGAAAACUCGAGGCUCAACCUCGAGAUGUCGGCGGAAACCGUCUGGCUAGAGUCCGGAAGAGGAGAGUGGAAUUCCUGGUGUAGCGGUGAAAUGCGUAGAUAUCAGGAGGAACACCUGUGGUGUAGACAGCUUACUGGACCAUUUCUGACGCUGAGACACGAAAGCGUGGGUAGCAAACAGG
rnacentral:rRNA from 1 species